GACACUUUGGCCGAGUGGUUAAGGCGACGGCCUGCUAAGCCGUUGUGUUCGCACGCGCAGGUUCGAAUCCUGCAGGUGUCG
rnacentral:tRNA from 2 species